CCACAUUACUUAAUCAUGCGAAUUGUAUCGACUGUUACUCGACAAUGUCGUAUUAUACAAGAAACAAGGAAUUGAUCUUCGCGGCGGCGAUUCUUAAGACACCGAAAAUGAACCGAACCGAGAAUGAUCGGAACCGAAAAUAAACGUCGCCGAUGUAACAAGCAGGAAGGUUGCCACCAUCUACUGUAAAAAAGCCUUGGCACAUUGUCCCAAUGGAGUUGAGGGGAUCACGCCCAAGAGGUACAGAAGGAAGCACCUUCUAGCCAGUCAUUCGAGACCAAUUCACAAAUCGACCUAGUUGAUGGGACCACGACGUGUAAGAAAAUACCUUCAACUGUCGAAGAUGAAGCCAGCAAGAAGAAUGUGACCAUCUGCUGUAGAAAAGCCUUGGGAAAAUUGUCCCAAUGGAUUUGAGGGGACCACGCCCUAGAUCUACAGAGGGAAACAUCUUCUUGACAAUCAUCACAGACCAGUUUGCGAAGAGGGAACCGACAAAAAGAAUAUGCCUUAAGAGUAAACCGUCGCAAAUGCAGCCAGCAGAAAGAAUGUAACCAUUCGCUGUAGAAAAGCCCUGACACACUGUCCCAAUGGAUUUGAGGGGACCACGCCCAAGAUCUACAGAGGGAAGCAGCUUCUUGACAGCCAUCCAGGACCAGUUUACGAAGUAAGGAAGAACCAACGAAGACCACACCGUUGAUGAUUCCAAGCCGUGUAGCAUACACGGCACAAAAAAAAUGUAUGCUACAUUUUUUUUUCCAAAGAGAAGGGUGUGUAAUGAUAUGACGCCACAGCGGGCGAUGAGACGGUCGAACAGAGACGACAGUAGGAGUAUCCGAGUUGACGCAUCCCCUCCUCGUAUCAUCGCUGGGCGAAAUUGAAGGAGAAGUGGCAUCGAGAGCAUAUUUAAGACGAGCCAGGAGAAUCAUAAAAUCAGUUAUUGCUAACGAAUUGAAUUAGCAAUAGCUCGAUGGCAGAGAUGCACCGGAUUUAAGGUGGUACUAUGCCUAGGUAGACGCCACAGUAUUGACGUGGCGUUCCACCGUAACCGUUACCGCAGUGAGCGGUAGUAACGAUGGACGGGUGACUGUGUGUCACUGUUCAAUGUUAUCGCAUUGAACUGAAAUGCGAUGUCUGGGUCUGAAUAUGUAGAUAUGUUGAUUCCACGUAGCGAGAUAGUUAUUUUAUAUCUAAUAUAUUGUGUUGUGUAUUGUAUCGUUUUAAUAUUUCUAUUAUAUUCGAUUGACAGUAAUAAGCAUAAUGUUAUUUUUCCUUUGCAGAAGAUAGGAUUAUAUUUUAUUUUAUUUGUUUUAAACUGUAUAUAAUUAUCUUAAAUAUAUUUACUUUAUUUUUAA